UACAGAGGUCUCAAGCGUUGUUCGGAUUCAUUGGGCGUAAAGGGUGGUGUAGGUGGCGCGCUAGUCGGGUGUGAAAUCUCGGAGCUUAACUCCGAAACUGCAUUCGAUACUGCCGUGCUUGAGGACUGGAGAGGAGACUGGAAUUUACGGUGUAGCGGUGAAAUGCGUAGAUAUCGUAAGGAAGACCAGUGGCGAAGGCGGGUCUCUGGACAGUUCCUGCGGCUGAGGCACGGAAGGUCAGGGGAGCAAACGGG
rnacentral:rRNA from 1 species